rnacentral:rRNA from 1 species
UACGGAGGGUGCAAGCGUUAAUCGGAAUUACUGGGCGUAAAGCGUGCGCAGGCGGUUUGUUAAGUCUGCUGUGAAAUCCCCGAGCUCAACUUGGGAAUUGCAUUGGAUACUGGCAGGCUGGAGUAUGGUAGAGGAAGGUGGAAUUCCCGGUGUAGCAGUGAAAUGCGUAGAGAUCGGGAGGAACACCAGUAGCGAAGGCGGCCUUCUGGACCAAUACUGACGCUCAUGCACGAAAGCGUGGGGAGCAAACAGG